UACAGAGGGUGCAAGCGUUGUUCGGAAUUAUUGGGCGUAAAGCGCGUGUAGGCGGCUUUGCAAGUCGGGUGUGAAAUCCCUCAGCUUAACUGAGGAAGUGCGCCCGAAACUGCUUUGCUUGAGUGCCGGAGAGGAUGGCGGAAUUCCCCAAGUAGAGGUGAAAUUCGUAGAUAUGGGGAGGAACACCGGUGGCGAAGGCGGCUCACUGGCUCGUAACUGACGCUCAUGCACGACAGCGUGGGGAUCAAACAGG
rnacentral:rRNA from 1 species